GAUGAACGCUGGCGGCGUGCCUAAUACAUGCAAGUCGAGCGAAUGGAUUAAGAGCUUGCUCUUAUGAAGUUAGCGGCGGACGGGUGAGUAACACGUGGGUAACCUGCCCAUAAGGCUGGGAUAACUCCGGGAAACCGGGGCUAAUACCGGAUAACAUUUUGAACCGCAUGGUUCGAAAUUGAAAGGCGGCUUCGGCUGUCCCUUCUGGAUGGACCCGCGUCGCAUUAGCUAGCUGGUGGGGUAACGGCUCACCAAGGCAACGAUGCGUAGCCGACCUGAGAGGGUGAUCGGCCACACUGGGACUGAGACACGGCCCAGACUCCUACGGGAGGCAGCAGUAGGGAAUCUUCCGCAAUGGACGAAAGUCUGACGGAGCAACGCCGCGUGAGUGAUGAAGGCUUUCGGGUCGUAAAACUCUGUUGUUAGGGAAGAACAAGUGCUAGUUGAAUAAGCUGGCACCUUGACGGUACCUAACCAGAAAGCCACGGCUAACUACGUGCCAGCAGCCGCCGUAA
rnacentral:rRNA from 1 species